rnacentral:rRNA from 1 species
UACAGAGACUGCAAGCGUUAUUCGGAUUCACUGGGCGUAAAGGGUGCGCAGGCGGCCAUGUGUGUGAGGUGUGAAAUCCCGGAGCUUAACUCCGGAACUGCGCCUCAAACUACAUGGCUAGAGCAUUGGAGAGGGAAGUGGAAUUCACGGUGUAGCAGUGAAAUGCGUAGAUAUCCGGAGGAACACCGGUGGCGAAGGCGGCUUCCUGGACCGACACUGACGCUGAGGCGCGAAAGCUAGGGGAGCAAACGGG